UAAAUCAGCAGGACUAAAACCUGGGGACUCUUUAGUUGCUUCACUGGGAAACGAGGACACCAGCAGAGAAUCACCAGCAGAACAAGCUGUGCAGCGUUCCAGUCCUCGGGUCAGAACCAGCCUCUCCAUGGGUUGGUGGUGAUGAAGCACAGCGCUGCAGCAGGAGGCCACGGACGAUGAGAGCGGCUCUGAGCUGCAGCUCCUUGAGUCGUGUGACGUUCUGUUUGUGUUGCUGCAGCUUUCUGAAUGUACCGUGUUUGUUCUGCUUCUUCUUCUUCAUGUGUAUUUAUGGAGCCACGCCUCAGUGAGAUAUAUUUAUGUACACUGGAGAAAAAUCUAAUAAAACAAUGGAAA